rnacentral:lncRNA from 1 species
CUUUGCUUAGCAUCUCCCCAAAUCCUCACCGCUUAUUUUUCCCAGCUCUUUUUGGUUAUAGUUUAGCUGAGGACACUGCUUGCUGCAGCCUGCUCUCCAUUCUAUGCUGGAAUCUACCAUCUUCCUGCAGUGGCUCCAGUUAAACCCUGCUCCUGUGUCUCAGCAUGUUUAUACUAUGCUGCUAUGGUGGUCAUAUAAGCAAUGUCAGUCUAUUUGGACCGUCCCUUGGUAACAAUGAAAGCACAGUAUAAACAACUGAGUUGGUUAAAAAUGGACUGGGUUGAGAAUCCUAGUGCCAGGACCCUUAUAGUUGUACAGGCUUGAGCUGAUAAGGACUUCUCAUCCUACUACAUCUCCUCCUACUGUCUUACUAGAGAGUUACUUAGGAAUGUAAUGCAUUGCGAUUUAAGAGAUAAUUUCCUAAAUCUUCCAGAUAAGAUACUGCCUAUAUACUUUGCCUAUAAUUUCAUCUAGAUCUGGCUUUUUAAAAUUUGUUUUUUUGUGUGUGUAUGUGUGUGUGUUUUUUUUAAGAAUAAACAGUACAUUGUCAUUUUUGCAUUUGAUCCUUCCUCCUGGAUCCUUCCUCAAUCCAAUCAUAUUAAAAUACUUCUUAUUCUCCAAGUGCACCAUUUUCUUUAACCAAAUGACCUUUGCUGAUAUACUUUCGUAUGCUUUUGAUAUCUUCAGCUAGCUUAAUAGUCUUUAGCUAGCUAAUGUAUAUUAGCUAUUCAUACCAGUUAUGAAUUCAGGUGAAUUAUGCCCUUUGUUUAUUAUGCAGUGUCAUUUUAGUCUAACUGAAAUAUUUUGGCAUAAAAAAUCUUAAUUAUGUUAAGAUCUUUAUGCCUGUCUCACUUUUUGGUAAUCUAAAGAAAGACAGAUACCAGAGCCUGGUUUCUUUAGUAUGAAACAAUUUGUUAUGUUUAGAGUCAAAUUUUAAAAAUCAUGUCUUUGACAAUUUUCAGGAGUUUAAUAUGUGUCUACACUGUUUGCCUUAGUUUGCAGUUGUGUCACUGUGAAUAAUUGACUUUGCUGAUUAACAUCAAUGUCAAAUUUUUUUUGUAAAGGUAUUGUCAUAUCUUCACUUGUUACCUUUUAAGGCUUUAUUACAAGUGUCCUUGAAAAAACACAUUUUAAGUGUCAAACUGUCAUUUUUAAAUUUUAAUAAUUAUAACAAUUCAUAUUCUUAUUCUGCACGUAUGCAAGUUAUAUAAAACAUUUACCAAAUUUACCAGAAAUGUUUGUCCAUUAAAACUAUUAUUAAGUUUGUGAAUUCCAAUGUUUUUUAGAAAGUGAAGUAAUUACGUCUAUCCUUAGUGAGGUAUAUUCAAGGAAUAAUAAACCCUAAGGCUGGUUUUGAUGUCCUAGUCCUAAGAAGUAGUCUUCCCUAUGGAAGAAUGAGAGAAAGGGAGAAGAGAAAAGAAAGGGAAAAUGAUCUGGGAAGGUAUUAAGUUGACUCCAGAAAAAUUGGCUGUAUUAAAGAUUAAGGUGAAUUUUUGUGACUUAAGAUUUACAUAUAUAAGUA